GACGAACGCUGGCGGCGUGCUUAACACAUGCAAGUCGAGCGGUAAGGCCCUUUCGGGGGUACGACGAGCGGCGAACGGGUGAGUAACACGUGGGUGACCUGCCCUUAGCUCUGGGAUAAGCCUGGGAAACUGGGUCUAAUACCGGAUAUGACUCCAUGACGCAUGUUGUGGGGUGGAAAGCCUUGUGCGGCUAGGGAUGGGCCCGCGGCCUAUCAGCUUGUUGGUGGGGUGAUGGCCUACCAAGGCGACGACGGGUAGCCGGCCUGAGAGGGCGACCGGCCACACUGGGACUGAGACACGGCCCA
rnacentral:rRNA from 1 species